UUUUUUUUUUUUUUUUUUCUUGUUUUUGUUUUUCUUC
rnacentral:ribozyme from 1 species